rnacentral:rRNA from 1 species
GACGAACGCUGGCGGCGUGCCUAAUACAUGCAAGUCGAGCGGACAGAAGGGAGCUUGCUCCCGGAAGUUAGCGGCGGACGGGUGAGUAACACGUGGGCAACCUACCCUGUAGAUCGGGAUAACAUCGAGAAAUCGGUGCUAAUACCGGAUAAUCAUUUGAAGUGCAUGCUUCGAGUGUAAAAGAUGGCUCCGGCUAUCACUACGGGAUGGGCCCGCGGCGCAUUAGCUAGUUGGUAAGGUAAUGGCUUACUAAGGCAACGAUGCGUAGCCGACCUGGGAGGGUGAUCGGCCACACUGGGACUGAGACACGGCCCAGACUCCUACGGGAGGCAGCAGUAGGGAAUCUUCCGCAAUGGACGAAAGUCUGACGGAGCAACGCCGCGUAAGUGAUGAAGGUUUUCGGAUCGUAAAGCUCUGUUGUUAGGGAAGAACAAGUGCCGUUUGAAUAAGGCGGCACCUUGUCGGUACCUAACCAGAAAGCCACGGCUAACUACGUGCCAGCCGCCGCAGUAACAC